rnacentral:rRNA from 1 species
UACGUAGGAGACGAGCGUUGUCCGGAAUUACUGGGCGUAAAGCGCGUGUAGGCGGAUGGGCAAGUCUGCUGUGAAAGCUCCUGGCUUAACCGGGAGUGGUCGGUGGAAACUGCCAAUUUGGAGGACGGUAGAGGUAGGUAGAAUUCCCGGUGUAGUGGUGAAAUGCGUAGAGAUCGGGAGGAAUACCUGUGGCGAAGGCGGCCUACUGGGCCGGACCUGACGCUGAGACGCGAAGGCGUGGGGAGCGAACGGG